rnacentral:rRNA from 1 species
UGAAACAUCUUCGGGUUGUGAGGUUAAGCGACUAAGCGUACACGGUGGAUGCCCUGGCAGUCAGAGGCGAUGAAGGACGUGCUAAUCUGCGAUAAGCGUCGGUAAGGUGAUAUGAACCGUUAUAACCGGCGAUUUCCGAAUGGGGAAACCCAGUGUGUUUCGACACACUAUCAUUAACUGAAUCCAUAGGUUAAUGAGGCGAACCGGGGGAACUGAAACAUCUAAGUACCCCGAGGAAAAGAAAUCAACCGAGAUUCCCCCAGUAGCGGCGAGCGAACGGGGAGCAGCCCAGAGCCUGAAUCAGUGUGUGUGUUAGUGGAAGCGUCUGGAAAGGCGCGCGAUACAGGGUGACAGCCCCGUACACAAAAAUGCACAUGCUGUGAGCUCGAUGAGUAGGGCGGGACACGUGGUAUCCUGUCUGAAUAUGGGGGGACCAUCCUCCAAGGCUAAAUACUCCUGACUGACCGAUAGUGAACCAGUACCGUGAGGGAAAGGCGAAAAGAACCCCGGCGAGGGGAGUGAAAAAGAACCUGAAACCGUGUACGUACAAGCAGUGGGAGCACGCUUAGGCGUGUGACUGCGUACCUUUUGUAUAAUGGGUCAGCGACUUAUAUUCUGUAGCAAGGUUAACCGAAUAGGGGAGCCGAAGGGAAACCGAGUCUUAACUGGGCGUUAAGUUGCAGGGUAUAGACCCGAAACCCGGUGAUCUAGCCAUGGGCAGGUUGAAGGUUGGGUAACACUAACUGGAGGACCGAACCGACUAAUGUUGAAAAAUUAGCGGAUGACUUGUGGCUGGGGGUGAAAGGCCAAUCAAACCGGGAGAUAGCUGGUUCUCCCCGAAAGCUAUUUAGGUAGCGCCUCGUGAAUUCAUCUCCGGGGGUAGAGCACUGUUUCGGCAAGGGGGUCAUCCCGACUUACCAACCCGAUGCAAACUGCGAAUACCGGAGAAUGUUAUCACGGGAGACACACGGCGGGUGCUAACGUCCGUCGUGAAGAGGGAAACAACCCAGACCGCCAGCUAAGGUCCCAAAGUCAUGGUUAAGUGGGAAACGAUGUGGGAAGGCCCAGACAGCCAGGAUGUUGGCUUAGAAGCAGCCAUCAUUUAAAGAAAGCGUAAUAGCUCACUGGUCGAGUCGGCCUGCGCGGAAGAUGUAACGGGGCUAAACCAUGCACCGAAGCUGCGGCAGCGACGCUUAUGCGUUGUUGGGUAGGGGAGCGUUCUGUAAGCCUGCGAAGGUGUGCUGUGAGGCAUGCUGGAGGUAUCAGAAGUGCGAAUGCUGACAUAAGUAACGAUAAAGCGGGUGAAAAGCCCGCUCGCCGGAAGACCAAGGGUUCCUGUCCAACGUUAAUCGGGGCAGGGUGAGUCGACCCCUAAGGCGAGGCCGAAAGGCGUAGUCGAUGGGAAACAGGUUAAUAUUCCUGUACUUGGUGUUACUGCGAAGGGGGGACGGAGAAGGCUAUGUUGGCCGGGCGACGGUUGUCCCGGUUUAAGCGUGUAGGCUGGUUUUCCAGGCAAAUCCGGAAAAUCAAGGCUGAGGCGUGAUGACGAGGCACUACGGUGCUGAAGCAACAAAUGCCCUGCUUCCAGGAAAAGCCUCUAAGCAUCAGGUAACAUCAAAUCGUACCCCAAACCGACACAGGUGGUCAGGUAGAGAAUACCAAGGCGCUUGAGAGAACUCGGGUGAAGGAACUAGGCAAAAUGGUGCCGUAACUUCGGGAGAAGGCACGCUGAUAUGUAGGUGAAGCGACUUGCUCGUGGAGCUGAAAUCAGUCGAAGAUACCAGCUGGCUGCAACUGUUUAUUAAAAACACAGCACUGUGCAAACACGAAAGUGGACGUAUACGGUGUGACGCCUGCCCGGUGCCGGAAGGUUAAUUGAUGGGGUUAGCGCAAGCGAAGCUCUUGAUCGAAGCCCCGGUAAACGGCGGCCGUAACUAUAACGGUCCUAAGGUAGCGAAAAUUCCUUGUCGGGUAAGUUCCGACCUGCACGAAUGGCGUAAUGAUGGCCAGGCUGUCUCCACCCGAGACUCAGUGAAAUUGAACUCGCUGUGAAGAUGCAGUGUACCCGCGGCAAGACGGAAAGACCCCGUGAACCUUUACUAUAGCUUGACACUGAACAUUGAGCCUUGAUGUGUAGGAUAGGUGGGAGGCUUAGAAGUGUGGACGCCAGUCUGCAUGGAGCCGACCUUGAAAUACCACCCUUUAAUGUUUGAUGUUCUAACGUUGACCCGUAAUCCGGGUUGCGGACAGUGUCUGGUGGGUAGUUUGACUGGGGCGGUCUCCUCCUAAAGAGUAACGGAGGAGCACGAAGGUUGGCUAAUCCUGGUCGGACAUCAGGAGGUUAGUGCAAUGGCAUAAGCCAGCUUGACUGCGAGCGUGACGGCGCGAGCAGGUGCGAAAGCAGGUCAUAGUGAUCCGGUGGUUCUGAAUGGAAGGGCCAUCGCUCAACGGAUAAAAGGUACUCCGGGGAUAACAGGCUGAUACCGCCCAAGAGUUCAUAUCGACGGCGGUGUUUGGCACCUCGAUGUCGGCUCAUCACAUCCUGGGGCUGAAGUAGGUCCCCAAGGGUAUGCUGUUCGCCAUUUAAAGUGGUACGCGAGCUGGGUUUAGAACGUCGUGAGACAGUUCGGUCCCUAUCUGCCGUGGGCGCUGGAGAACUGAGGGGGGCUGCUCCUAGUACGAGAGGACCGGAGUGGACGCAUCACUGGUGUUCGGGUUGUCAUGCCAAUGCACUGCCCGGUAGCUAAAUGCGGAAGAGAUAAGUGCUGAAAGCAUCUAAGCACGAAACUUGCCCCGAGAUGAGUUCUCCCUGACCCUUUAAGGGUCCUGAAGGAACGUUGAAGACGACGACGUUGAUAGGCCGGGUGUGUAAGCGCAGCGAUGCGUUGAGCUAACCGGUACUAAUGAACCGUGAGGCUUAACCUU